CGCCGAUGACAGACUAUCGGAUGCAGCAUUGCCUCUACCGCAUCUAAUAGCUCAUAGUGCUGUUUGACAGUACGCCAUGCAAUGCAUCGUGUGCGCGAAGCAUUCAAGUAUUUACAGAAAAGCAUCCAGACCCAGCUGCUCUGACCCCGCAGCAACACAUGCACACACACGCAAACCAGCGCAGCGUUCAACCCGUUUUCGAUCUUGCGCCCGCCUCGGGUGGCUCGCACUCUGACGCGCUGCUCGCAUUUCACACCGCGCCUUACUGUCUGAACGCGAACGUUGCGCCUUGACUAGGCGUCAAGCUGUGUCGGCGUGAGCGAGAGCUUGUGAUGAAGCGGAUCCGUUCAGAGGGUGACUUGGGCGCGUGAUGGUGAAACGUAGGCGUGCGCGGUGGGUGGAACGCCGCAGGUAGCCUGUAAAACGGCUUUAAAGCGGUACAGGACGAUCGUAACCCUAAGUUGUUUUAUGCAGAGAGGAAGCAAGUGGAACGUGGGAUGUCGUGACUGGGAAGACGAGUGCUGUUCGCGACUGGUUCGUGACGAGCGCAUCGUUGGAGGCGUGUCAGGCGAAACCAGGUUGCACUUGGUUGAUUGCGUCGUAAGUCAAGCAAGCCUCUUCUGCUGAAAGCGGACGAGCAGGAGCCGAGUUUCUGGCUUGGGGAUCUGCUCGCGUGCUUGUUUGGUGUUGCGUACGCGCUCUCUGCCAUACGUGGAUAUGGCGGUUGCGAUCGUGUCCUGACACGAUCGUACGUGCUAGAUGGUUGUUACCAAAAGCCACGAUGUCUACAUCGCGAUAGCAGUUUGUUCGGUUCUUCUUGACUGCUGGUACUUGAACGAAGAACGAACGCCCGUUGGUUUUGGGCUGGUGUGUAUUGCUGCGCGCAAGGUCGCGGUUCGCGGUUCGGGUCGCGGGUCGUUUUCCACAUGCACUGGAACGGUAGAGGUAUGCUAUCCGUACAUUCUCGAGGCCAAGCAGCGGCCAAGCAGAGCCCAAGCUUCGGGGUGUUGCCUGCAGAGAUACGGACACGUUCAAAGCGCAUGUCGGCCACAGCUCUGCGGAGUCAAGGUAAGCGGCGUUGGUCCAAGUUUGUUGAGCGCGCCGCUCUUACCCGUGGUCUAGAGCUUCUUGCUCGAUCGUCAUCGCGCUUUGUCCAUCCCUUCUCUGCGUCAGCACACAUCCCGUUCUGUCUUGCAACCCAUGUGCGUCGCAUGUGCACAUGUAGCACACGUGUACCCAAGCUUCGCCCCCGACCAUCGAUCGGAUCAGCAUGACAAUUUUUCUCCAUCUC
rnacentral:telomerase_RNA from 1 species